GACGAACGCUGGCGGCGUGCUUAACACAUGCAAGUCGAACGGAAAGGCCCAGCUUGCUGGGUGCUCGAGUGGCGAACGGGUGAGUAACACGUGGGUGAUCUGCCCCUAACUUCGGGAUAAGCUUGGGAAACUGGGUCUAAUACCGGAUAGGACAAUCGUUCAGUGUCGGUUGUGGAAAGUUUUUUCGGUUUGGGAUGAGCCCGCGGCCUAUCAGCUUGUUGGUGGGGUAAUGGCGUACCAAGGCGUCGACGGGUAGCCGGCCUGAGAGGGUGGACGGCCACAUUGGGGCUGAGGUACGGCCCAGACUCCUACGGGAGGCAGCAGUGGGGAGUAUUGCACAAUGGGCGCAAGCCUGAUGCAGCGACGCCGCGUGGGGGAUGACGGCCUUCGGGUUGUAAACCUCUUUCGACAGGGACGAAGCUUUGGUGACGGUACCUGUAGAAGAAGCACCGGCUAACUACGUG
rnacentral:rRNA from 1 species